UAACUCCAGUCAACAGCUGACUCAAUUCUGUCUUUAGUCCUUCUCCUUAGUAGUCCCUGCAUAAAUUGAUUUCCACUUUGUUUACCUCUGACGACAGAGGCCUUUCCUUCAAAUUAAAUAGACUAUAAGGGAAAGAGGCGUCAUGUACAUCAAUCAAGAAUGUUUUUUCUUAUCUCUAAUUCUGAUUCUUCUGAAAUUCAGUAUAUGCGCUAUUUACAACUCUUGCGCAGUUCAUUGAUGAUAAGUUAUCACUGAUAACUUAUCAGUUUAUCACGUCUCUUUUAACAUCCAUUAAAAAUCAAUUCAAUCCAAUGUAUUUUAAUAUAAAUAAUGGUGAUGUAUUUUGCCUUUAAUUACAUGAAUUAGAGUGAAACCUACAAAUUAACUUCAGGUUCUACUCCUCCAAGAAUGGUUUCCUAUCUGAAGGCUAAAUUUGCUGAAAGCUAUGAAUAAGCACUGCUAGACGUCCCAAAUGUAUUCCUACGGUAUGGAUCAUUCAAGACAUUACAAUGCUCACUUUGAAGAUAAUAUGUUUCGUCGUCGAAUUUUAGAAGGACAAUGGCUAUUGACAUGACACACGAUGCAAUUCUAACUAUUUUCGAUUAUAAGAAGAAAAUGAAAGUCGAAAACUUUCAUUAAAUAGGAAUAGAGUAGAAAAAAAACUGAAAGAAAUAAAUGCAACCUUACUUAAUGUAAUUCAUUCUCUAAUAACUUUUCAUGCUCACCCAAUAAUGAUAGUGAAGAAGGCAAUUUACUGAUCAACUAUGUGAGCAGUCCACUCAUGAUGAAUUGACGGGUAAAGGGAAGUAUCUGUCGUUGUAAUACAAAAAGAUUAACAAAGUCCCUCGGAAUCAUGUACAAAUUAUAAAUAUUUAUUAUGGCUGAAUAAAGUUGUCUCAUAAAAGAA
rnacentral:lncRNA from 1 species